UACGUAGGUGGCAAGCGUUGUCCGGAUUUAUUGGGCGUAAAGAGCUCGUAGGCGGUCUGUCACGUCGGCUGUGAAAACCCGGGGCUCAACCCCGGGCCUGCAGUCGAUACGGGCAGACUAGAGUGCGGUAGGGGAGACUGGAAUUCCUGGUGUAGCGGUGAAAUGCGCAGAUAUCAGGAGGAACACCGGUGGCGAAGGCGGGUCUCUGGGCCGUAACUGACGCUGAGGAGCGAAAGCGUGGGGAGCGAACAGG
rnacentral:rRNA from 1 species